rnacentral:rRNA from 1 species
AGUGAACGCUGGCGGCAGGCCUAACACAUGCAAGUCGAGCGGCAGCGGGUUCCCGCGAGGGGAUGCCGGCGAGCGGCGGACGGGUGAGGAACACAUCGGAAUCUGCCUGGUUGUGGGGGAUAACGUAGGGAAACUUACGCUAAUACCGCAUGAGACCCUGAGUCGACGGACUGGGGGUGAAAGUGAGGGACCUUCGGGCCUCACGCGACCAGAUGAGCCGAUGUCGGAUUAGCUAGUUGGCGGGGUAACGGCCCGCCAAGGCGACGAUCCGUAGCUGGUCUGAGAGGAUGAUCAGCCACACUGGGACUGAGACACGGGCCCAGACUCCUACGGGAGCAGCAGUGGGGAAUCUUGGACAAGUGGGCGCAAGCCUGAUCCAGCCAUGCCG